UUGGAGGGCAAGUCUGGUGCCAGCAGCCGCGGUAAUUCCAGCUCCAAUAGCGUAUAUUAAAGUUGUUGCAGUUAAAAAGCUCGUAGUUGAAUUUCGGGGUUUGUCGGUUGGUCGGGCUUCAUUGUCCGCACUGGCCUGAUGGAUUCCUACCUUCUGAAUAACCAGCAUGCUAUUAAGUUAGUGCGUUGGGGAAGCAGAGCUAUUACCUUGAAAAAAUUAGAGUGCUUAAAGCAGGCUUAUGCUUGAAUAGAUUAGCAUGGAAUAAUAAAAUAGGACGGCAUGGUUCUAUUUUGUUGGUUUCUAGGAUCACCGUAAUGAUUAAUAGGGAUAGUUGGGGGCAUUAGUAUUCAAUUGUCAGAGGUGAAAUUCUUGGAUUUAUUGAAGACUAACUUCUGCGAAAGCAUUUGCCAAGGAUGUUUUCAUUAAUCAAGAACGAAAGUUAGGGGAUCGAAGACGAUCAGAUACCGUCGUAGUCUUAACCAUAAACUAUGCCGACUAGGGAUCGGACGAUGUUAAUUUUUUAAUGACUCGUUCGGCGCCUUACGGGAAAC
rnacentral:rRNA from 1 species